GACGAACGCUGGCGGCGUGCUUAACACAUGCAAGUCGAACGAAGUGGCGAACGGGUGAGUAAUACGUGAGUAAACUGCCCUCCUUUUUGGGAUAAGCCUUGGAAACGGGGUCUAAUACCGAAUAAAGGGGGAUGGGCUCGCGGCCUAUCAGCUUGUUGGUGGGGUGAUGGCCUAUCAAGGCGGCGACGGGUAGCCGGCCUGAGAGGGUGGACGGCCAAAGUGGGACUGAGACACGGCCCAGACGCCUACGGGACGAAGCAGUGGGGAGUAGUGCACAAUGGGCGGAAGCAUGAUGCAGCGACGCCGCGUGGGGGAGGACGGCCUUCGGGUUGUAAACUCCUUUCACCAUCGACGCGGUAGAUGGAGAAGAAGCACCGGCUAACUACGUGCCAGCAGCCGCGGUAAUAC
rnacentral:rRNA from 1 species